CCCAACCUGGCUGCCUGCAGACUCCUGGGUCUGGGGCUGCUGAACGCUGCGAGGAUGGGCAAGACCCUCCUACCUUACCUGCCCGACUCUAGCCCAGGCCUGGGAUGGCUCACAGGGCCGAGGCCAAAGAUCCUGAGAGGCCAGCAGCUGUUCCCCGGGGGCUGGGUGCCCAGGCCCAGCUUCCAGGAACAGGCGUCAGGAGAGUCCUGGAGUCUGGACGCAGCCUCAGCCUGUCACGGCGUGGCCCUAGUGCUGCGGUGAUCCUAGAGGUGCCGGCUGCUCCGGCUCCGAUCAGCUCCCCCUAGAGGAAGCUGCUGUGUGGCCGCCGGAUGCGGAUGCUGAGCCCGUGGCUUGGGGGUCGGUCUAGGCUCUCACGUGGGGGAGGCGCUCCACCCCCCACACUUGGCCCCGGUCAGGCAGUGUGGCUUCCCCUCUCCCACUCCUGAUGCCCAGUCCCGGCCUUUGAUCUUCACCCCCUUUCAUCAAACAGUACCAAUAAAAAAGCCAGGAUGGCAGAGUUUCUUAAGCACCACAGUGUGCCUUGCACUUUAGCGAGGGACACUUAUCCCUCUGAAUCUUUUCAGUAACCCCUGGAAGUAGGUUCUGUCCACUACACCUGUUUUACAGAUGAACAAACUGAGACUCAGCGGGUUUAAGGAACUCCCUAGGUCACUAAGCUGGAUUUAUAAUCAAGUCUGUGGAUGCCGUGGGGAAUAAUACCACUAAAUUGAGAUUCCACGUGCAAUUGAGAUGUGUACCCAAGGCACCUUGGUGGUCUCCAGAGAUUCAAAAUCCUGAAGGUGACAGACAGGUAGACAGAGAUGAAAACAGGGGUGUCUGGGUACCACCUGGGCACGUGCCAGUGGAUGCUGCAAGGAGAGAAGAGAGGAAGGACAGAUAGCUGUAGGGACUGGUUCUCAAGGGCAGGGGCAGCCCCGACCAGGGAAGGACAAGCCAGGUAGAGAGGGGUGUGUACAGAGGCCCCAAGAGCCCCUGCCCCCUUCUCCGUCCAGGUACCUCCAGCUUCCUCUACCGGCCCCCCCACCCCCCAUGCCUCCUGGAGCCUACCCCAAAUCCACUGCCUCAUACCUCCUUCCCCUGCCUCAUGACUCUUCCCUCUCUGCCCCCAGCUAAUCCCCCCUACCAUGUCUUCCUCCCAGCCUCCCCAUCCCCCCCACCCUCCAUCUGACCUUUGCCUUCUAGAACUCCUGGAAGUUUCCAACUGGAGGUUUUAAUUUGGAAACUCCUCCUGUUCUUAAGCAGUUGGUGGAGGUGGCUGCUACGGCCCCUCCCUUGGAGUCAGGGUCCCUCAGGAUGGAGACCCCAGCUUCAACCCCUCAAUCCCGAAUUUUGGGCCGCUCCUCCAUGUUCCGCUUUUUCCGUAGCCUGGUGGGGAGCAAGGGCAGCCUAAAGAGCUCUGACAAGGGCCUGAUGGGGAGUCAGGCAUGCCCCUCACAAGAGCAAGAUGCCACCCCCCUGAUGAUAAACUGCCAGGGAGGGGUGGGGAGGAAGGAGCUGAGGCCGCCCACCACACUGUCCUACACGCUCUCUGUGGCUUUGCCACAGCACAAUUCCUUGGGGCUAGGGAUGGGGGACACAGGGGCCCAGAUCCCCACUCCCAUGGAGGUCCUGAGAGUGGGGGCCCAGGGUAGAGAGGUGAAACCCAUCCUGUCCAGGGGAAGCCAGAAGAUGCUGGGCAGCCCAUCGGAGAAGAAGGAAAGGGAAAAGAAAGAGAAGGCAGUAGGGGAGGCCUCCGGAGAUACAAGGACCUCAGACAAGGGCCACUUUGUCCAAGCAUUGGAGGUGGAACAGCAUCCCCACAGAGGGCUGUGGGGCCACUGGAGGUCUGCCCCAAGACCUUCACCAGGGAGGAGAAGGAGUGUCUGCUUGACGGAGACCUCAGGCUGGCCUCUUCGAAGGUCGGGGCAACUCCUUGGAACUGACUCCUCACCUUGUACAAGCAGCUUCAGAAAUCAGCCAUGGCCAAAGUUUCUUCUCAAGGAAAGCUUGUCUGAUGAGGAGAAAGGCAAGGAAGAGGAAAUGGAGGAAGAUGACAGCUCCUUCAAGCUCUGUGUCCCAGGCAUUGUCCCCCUGCAGUCACCGCUGCAUAAGACUUUCAGAUCAACAAAUACAGUGGGGAAGUGCAGCGUGCAACCCGCCCUCAGGCCCAGAGGGCUCCCCUUUGACUGAGGCUCAUGGGUGUGAUACCAGUUCUUACCACCAGGUUUCGUGGAGUCGGAGUUAAAGAAGCUUCUGAUAGUUCAACGGGAGUCUGGUCUCUGGAAGAUGGGCAGCCAUGAGGGCCAAGAGCUGCUGACCCAGCCAGAGAUCACCCUGGAGGAGGCGGGCAUUGUGGAUGGCCAGCACUUGCUCCUGGAGGAGAUGGACGAGAUGGGAAACUGGCCCCCAUAGUGAAGCUGGUGUUGGCCCGAGUUUGCUUGCUCCCAGGUCCCUUCAGCCCCAGUAGAAGUUUAGCCUCUCUCAUGAGGGCACACCCGAGGCGCCCCUGGGGCCAAGGGGUCUUAAGAUCAAUGGUAUUCAUGCAUCUGCAGGGUGGGCUGCCCAGCAGUGUCUCCACCCACCAGACUCAGGCCUGUGCUAUUAUUAAUAAAACCCUCUUUGACUUUGGCCUCCUUGGCUAUCUCUGGAGCUCACUCCUCAUCCUCAGGCUAGGUGCCAGCUCAGUUUACCCAGGAUCUCAGUCUAGCCCUCAGUGUGGCAGCCCUAACCACAGAGCCCUGGGUUCUAGCGGAGGGGCUGCAGUGGGGCAUCUAAGCUGCAGGGUCAGAGGCUUGGUGUACCUGCCUGGGUGGUCCAGAAUGCCAGGGAAGCCCCUGUGACCACAGGGCCAGACCCUGUGAGUGGGAGCAUCCCUGACUUCCCUCCCUCCAAAGUUCCCAAGCCAGGCAGGCGGCCUCACGGGGAAGAUCCGGGAAUUCUGCAGCAGGAAGUUCCUGCCCAGCUACCACAGGGACAAAGCCAGGAAAGCAGCCUUGGGGUCAUGGGGAGCUGCUUGGAGACUGGGCUGGGGGCAGAGUGCCUCAGCUGUGACCCUUCCCUGCCCCCUCAGAAGGGCAUGGCUCACCCCUUGCUGCAGGACCUCUUCCAUAUUAUCCAGAAACAGAGGCUGGAAUAGGAGCAGAUCCUGUUUGGUGGGCGAACCCCUAGAUUUCAGCCAUUCCCAGCUUCGGCCAAGGAGCCCAGGCAAGGAAGGGCCGGAUCACAGGGCUCCAGCCCUGCCAAGGCCCAGGAUGGACAGAGAGUGGAGGUGGGCUUCCUGGAAGUUUCCUGCUGGCUCUUGGAACUUGGGGGUGAUGCUUUGAACGUCUUUAUUUCUAUUUAUUUGGGGUUAGAAGCUGUAUAUUCACAUAGUCCAAAAUUCAAAAGUUAAGAAGGGAGUGAGCCAAAGGUAAUUUCCUCCCAAUGGAGCCCCAUCCCCUCUUUGGUUCCCCCUCCUAGAGGCCCCUGCAAUUGCUGGCUCCUUGUGAAUCCUGAGUUCAGGAUUUCUUACUAGAGCUUGCCAUCCCCUCUCUUCCCCCUCUGGGAGAGGUUCCGGUGGGAGGUGGGUAUGAGGAGAUAUCCAGCCAUUGACACUGGGGCCUGGAUAAGGCACCCAAUUGCCCUGGGGAUGGUGGUGACCUCCUUCCUGGGUCUGAACUUGGCCCCAGCUUCCUAGCAUCCUGCUCGAGCCACCCAGGAGGGGUGGGGCCCAUUACUUCUUUUCACCUCUUUAGCUCAGCAUCCCUGGAAGUUCCCUGCCCUCCACCUAGGAGACCCAGGCACCUGACAGACACCCCGAGCUGGGGCUCCCACAGUAUCCUUUUAUCUCCUGAUGUAAUUUAUUUAUUUAUUUUUAAAGAUUAUAUUUAUUUACUCAUGAGAGACACAGAGGAAGAGGCAGGCUCUCCGCAGGGAGCCCGAUGUGGGACUAGAUCCCAGACCCAGGAUCACGCCCUGAGCCAAAGGCAGACGCUCAACCACUGAGACACCCACGUGUCCCUCCUGAUGUAAUUUAUAUACUCUCGCCAUCUUCUUUCUCCUUGACUGUUCAAAUCUUGGGGUGCCUGGCUGGCUCAGUUGGCAGAGCAUGCGACUCUUGAUCUCAGGGCUGUGAGUUCGAGCCCCAUGUUAGUGUAGAGCUUAUUUUUUAAAAAAAUUAAACAUGGCUUUGUUAAGCAUUUAUUAUGUGCCUGACCUGGCCUGGAGACAUAAAGUGAAGUGGACAUAGUGGCCUGCUCCAGUGAAGAGCUCACAGUUGCCUGGGGGAGGGCCAGAAAGCGGAGAGAUCAUUACAGUUCAAGAUAGCCCGUGAUAUGUUCCUUGGUAGUAUGGGGGGGGGUAUAAAUUCCACAUUAAAGAGUCUGACAAUGCCAGGUGUUGGUGAGGACAUGAGUCAGUGGGCACACUCCCAGUGGCUGAUGAGAGGGGGAAUUAGAACAGCCACUUUGCAGAGUGAUUUGGCAGUUCUAGGGAGGAACUUCCCUGUGAUCCAGCAAUUCUACUUUCUAAGCUCUUUCUCUAGAGUUUUUCAAAACCUCUGACAGUAUCCUCAAAUAAGCAUAUAUUGCACGUUCAUGACGAUGCAGUUCUCACCCUGAUAGUUACCCUGAUGACGUGUGAUGUAUGUUAUUUUUGAAUCAGUUUCGAGUUUUAAAAAUGCUGAUCUUCACCUGCUAAAUUGAUUUGACCCAUUAAUAGGUUUCAAGCCAUGGUUUGAACAAUGCUCUCAGGAGACAGGGAGGCUUACUGCAACAUUGCUGUCACAGCAAAAACUGAAAUAGGGCUUUCACGGUUACCAACAAAAUGGAUAUGGUGUUGUGACAUGGUCAGGAAUGGACUAUCACACUGUCACACUACUGCCCCAUGUAUUAAAAGAGACACACAGGGUGAAACCAUCUGAAGCCAUCUAGAAUGGAAAGCCCUGCAGAAUGAUGGUGAAUUGUGAUUAUAGUUGUGAUACACUCAUAUCAUUUAUGAAUACAUCCCUAUGUGGCAUAAGCAUAAAAACUGUACAAAGUGAAACCCAUAUCAGGAUAGUGGUCACCUCUGCAGGGAGAGGGAAGGGAAUGGGAUUGAGGAGGGAUAACAUAGGGGACUUCAACUCAAUUUUUAAGGUUCAGUUCUUUUUUUUUUAAAAGGUUCUAUUUUUUUAUUUGAGAGAGAAAGAGAGAGAAUGAGUUGGGGCAGGGCAGGGCCAAAGGAGAGGGAGAAGC